rnacentral:rRNA from 1 species
GAUGAACGCUAGCGGCAGGCCUAAUACAUGCAAGCCGAACGGCAAGUCUGAUAGCAAUAUUGGACCUAGAGUGGCGCAAGGGUGCGUAACACGUAUGCAACCUGCCCGCGACAGGAGGAUAGCUCCCCGAAAGGGGAAUUAACCCUCCAUAACACCAUGAGAAGGCAUCUGAUUAUGGUUAAACCGCAAGGGGUCGCGGAUGGGCAUGCGGUUGAUUAGCUAGUUGGCGGGGUAAAGGCCCACCAAGGCGGUGAUCAAUAGGGGUUCUGAGAGGAAGGUCCCCGAAACUGGCACUGGGAUACGGGCCAGACUCCUACGGGAGGCAGCAGUAGGGAAUAUUGGACAAUGGUUGCAAGACUGAUCCAGCCAUGCCGCGUGCAGGAAGAAGGCCUUCUGGGUCGUAAACUGCUUUUUCCUGUGGAUAAAAUACCCGUGCGCGGGGAAUUGAAGGUAACAGGGGAAUAAGCCACGGCUAACUACGUG